AUUGAUCUUUCUAUCCACAGAAAGAAAUAGCUGAUUCCUAUGCUGCUAAUGCCAGAGUAAUAGAGAAACAGUUGAUCAGGAAAGGCAUGACCAAACGCAAGAUGAUGGAAGAGGCUGAGGAAGCCAAAAAGAGACCCAAAGGAACACUGAUUGACAAGUGAAUAAGGUGGUACACUGCAGAUGACAUUCAUUCUCCAGGACCACAAAGGGACCAUUUUCAGAAUAUUCUGGUGAUGUGAGCUUCCUCUAGAACUUUAAGGUCCUAGGAACAGUAAUAGUGUGACGAAGAACCAGAUAAACACCUGUUAAGCAUAUGUUAAAUGGUAGUCAGACUAUUAUAUGCAGCAGCCCAGCUGUUACAAGUGUAUAGGUGUAUGGUGCUGAUCAUCUCUGUUAAACACUGGCCAGGGUUUAUGUAGUAAAACAAGGGAAGACUACAUCAUUCCACUAAGGACCAUUAAACAGCAUAUGGCCAACUGUACUCAUGCCUAAGGUGGUCUCUUUACACAGUUAAUGUUAACAAAGAGAUCACUUCAUUCCUGUAUAUACCAUACAUUUCCCUGUAUUGAGGGACAGAAUCAGCUUCUCAUCACUGAGAAUUUUGUAUGUACUCUGUAACGUAUGAGAAGUAUAAGAAUGUGUGAAGUGGUAGAUUUUAAACAUUUGUAAGUGGAGACAACUGGUUUGUCAAACGGUUGUUACUUUUUGUAUUGAUGUGAGAGCCAUACCUUGUGAUGUCUAAAAUAAAAAUACUGACAAACUUU